CUCGAGACUAGAGUCAGGCUGAGGUAUCCCGUCGCCUCGGUGUUUGGGAGUCCUCAGAGAGUCACCGCUGACCGUACUCACUGGCCGUGGCCCUCGGGGCAUAGUCGGUCACCGGGUUAGUGACAUGU
rnacentral:snoRNA from 1 species